GGUGGCUUGGUGGUAGAGUGCUUGCCUUGCAUGCAUGAGGCCUUAGGUUCAAUUCCUCAGCACCA
rnacentral:tRNA from 1 species